AUAGCCUAUUAGCUACUGUAUUCCGAGAUGACUACGUCGGAAGUUGCUCAGGGGCCUUUCCAGGUCUAUCCACAAUCUCCUGCAGUGUCAGUAAAGAAAGGGACAGGUCAGG